rnacentral:rRNA from 1 species
CCCUAGGGAUUGGGCUUCCCCUUCGGGGGCAGAGUGACAGGUGGUGCAUGGUUGUCGUCAGCUCGUGUCGUGAGAUGUUGGGUUAAGUCCCGCAACGAGCGCAACCCUUGAUCUUAGUUGCCAGCAUUCAGUUGGGCACUCUAAGGUGACUGCCGGUGACAAACCGGAGGAAGGUGGGGAUGACGUCAAAUCAUCAUGCCCCUUAUGACCUGGGCUACACACGUGCUACAAUGGGCAGAACAAAGGGCAGCGAAGCCGCGAGGCUAAGCCAAUCCCACAAAUCUGUUCUCAGUUCGGAUCGCAGUCUGCAACUCGACUGCGUGAAGCUGGAAUCGCUAGUAAUCGCGGAUCAGCAUGCCGCGGUGAAUACGUUCCCGGGCCUUGUACACACCGCCCGUCACACCACGAGAGUUUGUAACACCCGAAGUCGGUGAGGUAACCUUAGGAGCCAGCCGCCGAAGGUG